rnacentral:misc_RNA from 1 species
ACACGAAUACACGCAUACGGAUCCACACGCACACACACACACACACAUACCUGCUCGGCGCUGCUGCGCAGCCUUUGCAUGCUCGCUCGCGGAUGCGUUCUGAGGUGGCAUGCGGUCUCUGCGCGACACGUGCUCGGCCUUCACGAUGGGCAGUCGUACACACCAGCUGAUAUCAAGAAGGCGUUUCGCGAAAGAGCUCUGACCGCCCACCCCGACGCUGGCGGCGACGCCGACGGCUUUCGACAGCUUCAGAGAGCUUAUGAGGUGCUACUGCACGAGCACAGCGUGGAAAAGAAGGUCAGCGAGGCAGCAGCCGCCAGCGACGACAGUGGAGGCGGCAGCGGCUUCUGCGCCCGCCCGCAUGCAGAGUGGAGCGAUGACAUGCGCUCGCAACGCGCCUAUUGGCGCGACAUGUAUACCGAAAUGAACAUGAACCCAAACAGCUGUGAAAGCCGCCGGCACGCGUCAAACACGCAUUACGAGGCACGCCAACAUUACCGCACCUACGGCGAAGGACUAGGAGAGGAUUUCCAGCAAGAAUUUAAGUCAUCGUCGUUCGCCGGCGACGGGCAGCGGGGCAGCCAGACGAACUUCUCCACCUGGUACUUCUACCGUCCAUACUACUCGAACUACCGAAACCCCUACGGCACAGGGUUCACUCCCGAGGAAAUUCGCCGAGCAGAGCAGGAGCAGCGCCGCGGCUUCGUGCGUGCAGUGGCGCGGCACGCCUGCCUGUGGUCCGGCCUGGCCUUCGUGGUCUACCUGCACGAGCGCAACAAUCGCGUUUGGCGCGCGGUGGAGGCCCGGGACAAGGGCUAUAAAGAUCCGGAGUACUGGGAACAGCUACGAAAAGAUGAAGAGGAGGCACGUCGAAGGAGCCGGGCACCGCUGCGGCUGGAGCAACACUGGUUAGACCCCCCGCUGAUGAGGCCUUUGAUGGAUCUCACCGAGGGUGGUCACAGCGGCGGCUGCGGCAAAAAUGGCCAAGGGGCAGAGGACGACAUUUCUGGUGCUGCCAGAGCGGGCACGGCGUGGGCAACACAUCAAGCCAGGAUGGCGCAGGAGCGACGGAAGCAAGCCAUGAGUUUGACGCGUGGGAUGCGACGGGGUGCGAGCGGAGACGUGGGCGGGCCUCGUGUGGUGAGCUACCAAGGGCGGCCCUUUACUCCAAAUGGAGUGCGAGGCAUGCGCAACACGGCACCCAAGACACCGAAAACGUACGCUGACGACGUUACAUACGAGAUGAACGAAGACGACGACGACUUAUAGGUGGCCGCCGUCUAUGGGGUUGGGAGAACGGCGCCGGUGUAAGUGGCCUGUCCGCUCCGCCACGACAGCCCCCUCCCACUCCGAAACCUUUUUUUUUGCCUUUUUUCGGAUUUGUCUGUCUGCCUGUGUGUCUGUGCGUAUGUUUGCCUCCCCCCCCCAUCAUCAUAUGGUUCCUUUUGUUUCACUGGCGUUCUGUCUUGCCUGCAUCCUUGCUUUUUCGACUAGUAGCAGUAGCAGUAGCAGUAGUAGGAUUAGGCAUUCAUCGUUGGGCCUCUCUGCCUUCUUUCCCAUCUUUUCCCUUACCGACGAAUCGCGGCGUCUUUCACAACCGUGACCACCACUGCUUAUAGAUGGUGUCAACACAUAUUUCGUGCGUUGCCAUCUCUCCCUCUCUACCUUCUCCUCCCCCUCCCCCUCCGCCUCAUCCACCCAACAACAAAAAACAGGAAAGGCUUGCUUGAUAUGCGCUGCUUCAUAGAGCGGGAACCUCGAACACGCACACGCCGUCACACGAUGAAUCAUGUUCUGCUGUGGGCAAUCCCGUACGCCCUCGUUCAGUCCUCCUCCUCUUCCUCUUUUUUUUUCUUUUUACCCUUGCACGUGUGGAAG